CCUGCUGAACCGGAUGCGCCGUCAGUUUCCUCCUCCGCGUCCUCCGCGGCCUCCGCUUCCCCGGCGAAGCCGCAGGCACCCGCACCCGCGAGGGCACAGGCAGGGGCGCCCGGCGGCUGUUCUGGCAGGAGUCGGACGCCGUAGGAGCUGGGCGCGCACGGUUACCGAGCGUGGAGGAGACACUGCCCUGCGGCGAUGGGUGCCAGGGGCGCUCCUUCACGCCGGAGGCAGGCGGGGCGGCGGCUGCGCUACCUGCCCACCGGGAGCUUUCCCUUUCUCCUCCUCCUGCUGCUUCUCUGCAUCCAGCUCGGGGGAGGACAGAAGAAGAAAGAGAAUCUUUUAGCUGAAAAAGUUGAACAACUGAUGGAAUGGAGUUCCAGGCGCUCCAUCUUCCGAAUGAAUGGCGAUAAAUUCCGAAAAUUUAUAAAGGCACCACCUCGAAACUAUUCUAUGAUUGUUAUGUUCACUGCUCUUCAGCCUCAGCGGCAGUGUUCUGUGUGCAGGCAAGCUAAUGAAGAAUAUCAAAUACUGGCUAACUCCUGGCGCUAUUCAUCUGCCUUCUGCAACAAACUUUUCUUCAGUAUGGUGGACUAUGAUGAGGGAACAGAUGUUUUUCAACAGCUCAACAUGAAUUCUGCUCCUACGUUCAUGCAUUUUCCUCCAAAAGGCAGACCCAAGAGAGCUGAUACUUUUGACCUUCAAAGAAUUGGAUUUGCUGCUGAACAACUAGCAAAGUGGAUUGCUGACAGAACGGAUGUUCAUAUUCGAGUCUUCAGACCACCCAACUAUUCUGGCACCAUUGCUUUGGCCCUGUUAGUGUCACUUGUUGGCGGUUUGCUCUACUUAAGAAGGAACAACUUGGAAUUCAUCUAUAAUAAGACUGGUUGGGCCAUGGUAUCUCUGUGUAUAGUCUUUGCUAUGACUUCUGGCCAGAUGUGGAAUCAUAUCCGUGGACCUCCAUAUGCUCAUAAGAACCCACACAAUGGACAAGUGAGCUACAUUCACGGAAGCAGCCAGGCUCAAUUCGUGGCAGAGUCCCACAUCAUUCUGGUACUAAAUGCUGCUAUCACCAUGGGGAUGGUUCUUCUAAAUGAAGCAGCAACAUCCAAGGGAGAUGUUGGUAAAAGACGGAUACAUUUUCAUUGAGAAGAAUGUGGAAAAUAAUGAAUACAUUGUAUUUUGGAUUAUCUGGUUUGUUGUGCCUGUAUGUGCCAUGAACUAUUAAAAUUAAUUUGCCUAGUGGGAUUAGGCCUGGUGGUCUUCUUCUUCAGUUUUCUACUUUCAAUAUUUCGUUCCAAAUACCACGGCUAUCCUUAUAGCUUUUUAAUUAAAUGAAGCCAAGUGGGAUUUGCAUAAAGUGAAUGUUUACCAUGAAGAUAAAGUGUUCCUGAGAUAUAGUUUGAUUUCUUGAAUUCAUUUCCACAUUGAUUGUGACAAUUCUAGCUUAUUCUUGUAUAAUUUUUUUUAAAUGUGAGCUUUCCUAGUGAAUUUAAUUUAUAGAAGUGGAUGGUUAUAUUUCAUAUUAGCACUGGAAAGAACAAAGUUUCUCAAGCAUAUUAUAUUCAGUAUAUGUCAUAGGACUGAAAUAAAUGACAAUGUAAUUAUGAAUUCAUGUGUUAGAACUGUUCACUCAUUAGUAAAGAAAACCACAAUGUUAGUAAGGGAAAACUAUGAAAUAUAUGUUAAAGAACCCUUAAGGUUGUACAGAGAUAAGGUAUAUGCAUGAAAAUAUGUCACAUACUGAAAAAUAUACUCAUUGUCAUUUCAGUAUAAAGGAUGUGUGUAUGGUUACAAAUGUUUUGUUCUUAUUAAUCACAAUUAAAUAAAGAGGGAGCUGUAUGAAUAGUGCCUACAACUUGGAAGCCUAACCUGGGAAAUGGAGGUUUUUCCCAGGUUGUAAAUUUUAAAGCAAACAGGACUAAAUCAAUAAGCUUGAAGCCAUCAGGUGAUGGAAGCAACAUACCAGAAGAUUUUAAUUCCUCUCUAACUUUAGUAGGGUCACCCAGGAAUCCAGACUUGUAACUGUAAAACUAAUCCAGGAUGGCCAUUCCCCCAUAUGUUAUAUGGAAAAAGUUUGCCAUCAAAACAUCAUUCCCUAAUAUUAAUACCCUAUAUGAGUGACUUCAUGAAGCUUUCUCAAAAACUAAAUUAUGAGAGUCUAAUCAGUAUUCUGUUUGUUUAUCCUCUUUAAGUUUAAAAAGCACUUUUUAAUAUGUUAUUUUUUUUCUUUACAAUAAUCCUGUAAAUUAGACAGGAAAUAUAAAUUUUGUCUGACUUCUAGAAGUAUGAGAGCUAAAAGCCAAAAAGAACAGAAAAAUAGAGCUUAUAGCUGGGCCUUCAGACUCUCAAACCUGAAUUUUUAUUUUCUGUGGUGCUAAGGAAGAAUUUGAAAACACAUUUAGUUCAAUAAACUUUAGAAUUUAGAAGAAUUUAGAAAAAAUUUAAUUCAAUAAACUUUCUUUUUCCUUUUAA